rnacentral:rRNA from 1 species
UACAGAGGUCCCAAGCGUUGUUCGGAUUCAUUGGGCGUAAAGGGUGCGUAGGCGGCGCGGUAAGUCGGGUGUGAAAUCUCGGAGCUUAACUCCGAAACUGCAUUCGAUACUGCGGUGCUUGAGGACUGGAGAGGAGACUGGAAUUCAUGGUGUAGCAGUGAAAUGCGUAGAGAUCAUGAGGAAGACCAGUGGCGAAGGCGGGUCUCUGGACAGUUCCUGACACUGAGACACGAAGGCCAGGGAGCAAACGGG